UACGUAGGGGGCAAGCGUUGUCCGGAAUCAUUGGGCGUAAAGAGCGUGUAGGCGGUCCGAUAAGUCCGCUCUGAAAGCCCGGGGCUCAACCCCGGGAGGCGGGCGGAUACUGUCGGGCUAGAGUCCGGAAGAGGCAAGUGGAAUUCCUGGUGUAGCGGUGAAAUGCGCAGAUAUCAGGAGGAACACCGAUGGCGAAGGCAGCCCCCUGGGCUAGCACUGACGCUCAGGCACGAAAGCGUGGGGAGCAAACAGG
rnacentral:rRNA from 1 species